CCUACGGGGGGCAGCAGUGAGGAAUAUUGGUCAAUGGACGAGAGUCUGAACCAGCCAAGUAGCGUGAAGGAUGACUGCCCUAUGGGUUGUAAACUUCUUUUAUAUGGGAAUAAAAUGUUCCACGUGUGGGAUUUUGUAUGUACCAUAUGAAUAAGGAUCGGAUAACUCCGUGCCAGCAGCCGCGGUAAUACGGAGGAUCCGAGCGUUAUCCGGAUUUAUUGGGUUUAAAGGGAGCGUAGGUGGAUUGUUAAGUCAGUUGUGAAAGUUUGCGGCUCAACCGUAAAAUUGCAGUUGAAACUGGCAGUCUUGAGUACAGUAGAGGUGGGCGGAAUUCGUGGUGUAGCGGUGAAAUGCUUAGAUAUCACGAAGAACUCCGAUUGCGAAGGCAGUUCACUGGACUGCAACUGACACUGAGGCUCGAAAGUGUGGGUAUCAAACAGGAUUAGAUACCCGAGUAGUC
rnacentral:rRNA from 1 species